AGCUCCAAUAGCGUAUAUUAAAGUUGCUGCAGUUAAAAAGCUCGUAGUUGCAUUUCCGGAGUGAGGGAUUGGUCCAACCUUUGGUUGGUACUUAAUCCUCUCACGCCGUCCUUGAGUGGCGCAUUCUGGCAUUAAGUUGUCGGGGUGAUAGUCGCUCAUCGUUUACUGUGAGAAAAUUAGAGUGUUCAAAGCAGGCUUAUGCCGUUGAAUAUAUUAGCAUGGAAUAAUAAGAUAGGACCUCGGUACUAUUUUGUUGGUUUGAGAACCAAGGUAAUGAUGAAUAGGGACAGUUGGGGGUAUUCGUAUUCAGUUGUCAGAGGUGAAAUUCUUAGAUUUACGGAAGACGAACUACUGCGAAAGCAUUUACCAAGGAUGUUUUCA
rnacentral:rRNA from 1 species